rnacentral:rRNA from 1 species
GAUGAACGCUGGCGGCGUGCCUAAUACAUGCAAGUCGAGCGAACAGACGAGGAGCUUGCUCCUCUGACGUUAGCGGCGGACGGGUGAGUAACACGUGGAUAACCUACCUAUAAGACUGGGAUAACUUCGGGAAACCGGAGCUAAUACCGGAUAGUAUAUUGAACCGCAUGGUUCAAUAGUGAAAGACGGUUUUGCUGUCACUUAUAGAUGGAUCCGCGCCGCAUUAGCUAGUUGGUAAGGUAACGGCUUACCAAGGCAACGAUGCGUAGCCGACCUGAGAGGGUGAUCGGCCACACUGGAACUGAGACACGGUCCAGACUCCUACGGGAGGCAGCAGUAGGGAAUCUUCCGCAAUGGGCGAAAGCCUGACUGAGCAACGCCGCGCGAGUGAUGAAGGUCUUCGGAUCGUAAGACUCUGUUAUUAGGGAAGAACAAAUGUGUAAGUAACUAUGCACGUCUUGACGGUACCUAAUCAGAAAGCCACGGCUAACUACGUGCCAGCCGCCGCCGUAA